rnacentral:rRNA from 1 species
GAUGAACGCUGGCGGCGUGCCUAAUACAUGCAAGUCGAGCGAACGGACGAGAAGCUUGCUUCUCUGAUGUUAGCGGCGGACGGGUGAGUAACGCGUGGAUAACCUACCUAUAAGACUGGGAUAACUUCGGGAAACCGUAGCUAAUACCGGAUAAUAUUUUGAACCGCAUGGUUCAAAAGUGAAAGACGGUCUUGCUGUCACUUAUGGAUGGAUCCGCGCUGCAUUAGCUAGUUGGUAAGGUAACGGCUUACCAAGGCAACGAUGCAUAGCCGACCUGAGAGGGUGAUCGGCCACACUGGAACUGAGACACGGUCCAGACUCCUACGGGAGGCAGCAGUAGGGAAUCUUCCGCAAUGGGCGAAAGCCUGACGGAGCAACGCCGCGUGAGUGAUGAAGGUCUUCGGAUCGUAAAACUCUGUUAUUAGGGAAGAACAUAUGUGUAAGUAACUGUGCACAUCUUGACGGUACCUAAUCAGAAAGCCACGGCUAACUACGUG